CUCUGGUUUCUCUUCAGAUCGUAUAAAUCUUUCACCUUUUACUAAAGAUUUCCAUGGAGAGGAACACUUAUGUUGAG
rnacentral:snRNA from 1 species